UGGAUCUGUGAUGACCAGUGGUGCAGUAUGAGUCGUGGAACAUGACUACAGGUCUCAGAGUCUGAGGUCCUC
ensembl:snoRNA